rnacentral:tRNA from 1 species
GAGGGUAUAGCUCGGUGGUAGAGCUGCGUGCCUAGCAUGCAUGAGGUCCUGGGUUCAAUCCCCAGUACGUUAA